AAGGGGAGCAAUCCCUGAGUAAAGUGGCGACCGGGUGAGUAACACGUGACUAACCUACCCUUGAGUGGGGGAUAACCUCGGGAAACCGGGGCUAAUACCGCAUAACAUCUCUGGAUCGGAAGAACUGGAGAUCAAAGGAGCAAUUCGCUUAAGGAGGGGGUCGCGGCUGAUUAGCUAGUUGGCGGGGUAAUGGCCCACCAAGGCUUUGAUCGGUAGCCGGCCUGAGAGGGCGCACGGCCACACUGGAACUGAAACACGGUCCAGACUCCUACGGGAGGCAGCAGUGGGGAAUUUUGCGCAAUGGGGGAAACCCUGACGCAGCAACGCCGCGUGGAGGAUGAAGUCCCUUGGG
rnacentral:rRNA from 1 species